GCGGAGGAAAAGAAACCAACAGGGAUUGCCCCAGUAACGGCGAGUGAAGCGGCAACAGCUCAAAUUUGAAAUCUGGCCCCAGGCCCGAGUUGUAAUUUGCAGAGGAUGCUUUUGGCGCGGUGCCUUCCGAGUUCCCUGGAACGGGACGCCAUAGAGGGUGAGAGCCCCGUACGGUUGGACACCAAGUCUUUGUAAAGCUCCUUCGACGAGUCGAGUAGUUUGGGAAUGCUGCUCAAAAUGGGAGGUAUAUUUCUUCUAAAGCUAAAUAUUGGCCAGAGACCGAUAGCGCACAAGUAGAGUGAUCGAAAGAUGAAAAGCACUUUGAAAAGAGGGUUAAACAGCACGUGAAAUUGUUAAAAGGGAAGCGCUUAUGACCAGACUUGCGCCCGGUGAAUCACCCAGCUCUCGCGGCUGGGGCACUUUGCCGGCUCAGGCCAGCAUCAGCUCGCUGUCGGGGACAAAAGCUUCGGGAACGUAGCUCUCUUCGGGGAGUGUUAUAGCCCGUUGCACAAUACCCUUCGGCGGGCUGAGGUACGCGCUCCGCAAGGAUGCUGGCGUAAUGGUCAUCAGCGACCCGUCUUGAAACACGGACCAAGGAGUCAACCUUAUGUGCGAGUGUUUGGGUGUCAAACCCCUACGCGUAAUGAAAGUGAACGCAGGUGAGAGCUUCGGCGCAUCAUCGACCGAUCCUGAUGUUCUCGGAUGGAUUUGAGUAAGAGCAUAUAGGGUUGGACCCGAAAGAAGGUGAACUAUGCGUGUAUAGGGUGAAGCCAGAGGAAACUCUGGUGGAGGCUCGCAGCGGUUCUGACGUGCAAAUCGAUCGUCAAAUAUGCGCAUGGGGGCGAAAGACUAAUCGAACCUUCUAGUAGCUGGUUCCG
rnacentral:sRNA from 1 species